rnacentral:rRNA from 1 species
UAUUGGACAAUGGGCGAAAGCCUGAUCCAGCCAUGCCGCGUGUGUGAAGAAGGCCUUCGGGUUGUAAAGCACUUUCAGCGAGGAAGAACGCCUAGUGGUUAAUACCCAUUAGGAAAGACAUCACUCGCAGAAGAAGCACCGGCUAACUCCGUGCCAGCAGCCGCGGUAAUACGGAGGGUGCAAGCGUUAAUCGGAAUUACUGGGCGUAAAGCGCGCGUAGGUGGCUUGAUAAGCCGGUUGUGAAAGCCCCGGGCUCAACCUGGGAACGGCAUCCGGAACUGUCAAGCUAGAGUGCAGGAGAGGAAGGUAGAAUUCCCGGUGUAGCGGUGAAAUGCGUAGAGAUCGGGAGGAAUACCAGUGGCGAAGGCGGCCUUCUGGACUGACACUGACACUGAGGGCGAAG